GAUGAAGAACGCAGUGAAAUGCGAUAAGUAAUGUGAAUUGCAGAAUUCAGUGAAUCAUCGAAUCUUUGAACGCACAUUGCGCCCGCCAGUAUUCUGGCGGGCAUGCCUGUCUGAGCGUCAUUUCAACCUCAUGCCCCUAGGGCGUGGUGUUGGGGAUCGGCCAAAGCCCGCGAGGGACGGCCGGCCCCUAAAUCUAGUGGCGGACCCGUCGUGGCCUCCUCUGCGAAGUAGUGAUAUUCCGCAUCGGAGAGCGACGAGCCCCUGCCGUUAAACCCCCAACUUUCCAAGGUUGACCUCAGAUCAGGUAGGAAUACCCGCUGAACUUAAGCAUAUCAAUAAGCGGAGGA
rnacentral:misc_RNA from 1 species